rnacentral:rRNA from 1 species
AUGACCGCCAACUUCUCGAUGACCCACAUUCAUCAAUUUGUUGAACUUUGGCUACUCAUCUCAGAGUUCUCACUCGAGGAGCACGCGGAAGAUGAGAUUACUUGGAAGCACACCACAGAUGGUCAAUACUCGGCGGCGACGGCUUACUUCACGCAAUUCCUGGGAACCUUCUACUCUCCUAUGGAUCACAUGGUUUGGACUGCUUGGGCACCGCCGAAGGUGAAAUUCUCUGCUUGGCUCGCAAUACAAGACAACAUCUGGACAACCGAUAGGUUGGCGCGUCGUGGAUGGCCAAACUGUCAUCUUUGCCCCCUAUGCAAAAGAGAACAAGAAUCCGGGCUACACCUCUUCGUCAAAUGUCGUUUCACCCUCCGCCUAUGA